CUCCCAUCCAGCCCUGCCCUCUGGCACUGGGAAGCCAUUCCCUGUGUUCCCUUGUCCCCAGUCCCUCUCCAGCCUUGGAGAGGAGUGGGGAGCACCCGGGAUGAGUGACUGGAAUUUCAGGUCCUGGAAUCCAGACCCUGGCACGGAUUUCUCUCCCCAAAUCCAUGUCUGACCAGGGAAUGGCCACACUGGGCCAGCCCAGAGCCCCUCCUUGCUUCCCUGCUGCCUCCUGGAAGUGGGAAUGGAACAGGGCAGGUGGCCAUUGCUCUUCUCCCAAAUAAUCCAUGUCCGGAGGUGGGAGAGCUGUAGAUCCAUCUGCUUUUGGAGUCCUGCUGGUGUCAGGCAUCCAUGGAUUCUUUGGCAAGGAAUUUGUGCUGGGUACUCCAAUUGCUGAUUUCACUUGAGCCUCUCCGGUUCUCCCACUGGAACCAGGAACGGCCAAUCCCUUUUCCCUUUGUCUUUUCCCUGGAUUUGGUAGCCCUCCAUCAUCUCCCAUCGAUCCAUCCUCAAUACUUCCAUUGCUAAUGAUUCCUCACAUCCCUUCCUUUUGAUCUUUGCCUUUAUCCCAAAGGAUUUUUCCAUCUUUGUUGUGGUUUUCGGGCCUUGUUUGGCUUUCGGAGCUGCCGUGAGCAGAAAUGUUUGGCAGCGAUAUCCUGACAGGAAAGGGGAUGUUUUCCUCAUCCCGGUGCCUGUUCCAAUGCCGGCCUCACACGCUCACACCUGCACUGGCCCCUAUUCCCAAAAUUCCAGCCUGCUUUAAUCAGAUUAAUGGAGCAGGCACAGAGCCCCACCCUUUAAUUAAGCUUAAUUAAAUAAAAAUGUUCCGUCCCAAUCAAGUCCAUUGUUUUCUUUGCUUGUACACACGCCUGGAUCCCCUGGAGGCAGGAGCAACAAAUUCCCGAAGAUUUUCCAGGAAUGGUUUGUGGAGGGGAUUGUUGACCGAGAGGAAAGCGGUGCCAUGGAUUGUUCUCACAGUUUGCUGGGAUUGAGCUGGAGUGGAGUGUCCGGGAACAUUCCUUGGCACAAACGAUUUGCUAAAAUCCCUGCGGUCGUCCAGACUUUUGGCUGAGGAUGGAAAAGAUCCGGCUCCUCCUCGGAUCCAUCAGUUGGAACUCUGGAAAACCUUUUGGAGCAGGAAGGAGCAAAAUCAUCGGGACAGCCGUGUCUGGAUUCUAUUUUGCCAUGAAAUCUCUUGUCUUGGGGUCUCAGACUCUUUAAUGAAGCCAAAUCCUGCCAAAACGGGAAGCAGGUGCAUCCCCAAGUCAAAACCUCAGAAUCCCAAGCCCCUGUUUCCCAUCGGGAGCCGGUUUUGACGGAGCAUUUCCCAAAAACUCUGGGGCAGAACGGAAUUUGUUAAUCAAGAAAUAAAUAACGAAGACAAGAGCAAAACUGGCUGGCAGCAGCCGAAGAGAGGCAACAUCCUCUCAUCCCGGAUUCCCUGCUCCCGGAUUUCCGCGCUGGCCUUUCCCAGGUCCUGGAAAAUCACAGCGAGGUCACCCCAAAGCUUCUCUUCUCCACACUGGAAGAGAUCCACAUGAGAUCCAAGUUGUUCAACAUUGCUGCCCAGAAUCCAGUGGUUUCAGGGAAAACUCUGCCUGGAGAGGGGAAUGACAACCCUCGCACUUGGAAUGGCCGAUUUUCCAGUGGAUAACGACUGGAAUUCUCUUUGUGGGUUGGUAGAGCAGCACUGGAAACAGGCUGGAUGGGCUUGGAGCAACCUGAUCUCCCUGGAGAUGUCCCUGCCCGUGGCCAACUGGACGAUCCUUAAGGUCCCUUCCAACCCAAACAAUUCCAGGAUUCCAUGGAGAUUAACAGCCAGGUUGUGACGUCACGGUUCCACCAAAACUCGGAAUGGAGAUGAAAACCAUGGAAAUGGUUGGAAUAUUGAACAUGAACCACGACCAAAGCCGGGCAGUGGGAAGCAGGAUCCUUCCACAUUCCAACAGGGAUGGAUGAUGGUUUCCCGAGGUUUUUCCCCCUCAGUUCUCAUCCAAAUCCUGACCCCCUCACUGAGCACCCUCUGAUUUUCCUGGUUUUGGCUGGCGUCGAGCGGCUCCCAUCGGGUCUGUCUGGAUCUCAAGGAAAUCAUAAGUGGUUAAUGAGGAAAAUCCGGAUUGUGUCAGCUGUGGGACAUUUUGGCAGCCUUUGAAUCCUAAAAAUUGGAUUCCAACUCCUUUAUUCCUUCAUUUCAGGGAACAAAGCCUCGUAACCAAGUUUUCUUGGAAACACCACCAAAAUUGAUGCUUUUAAUUAAAAAAAAAAAAAAAAGAAAAAAAAGAAAAAAGCAAAUUAAAAGAGUAAUUGGAACCGAGGGGUUUUUUUUGGGUUCAGUUUUCCUACUGGAAAGUUGGAAAAGGUUAUGGAAAUAAACAUUUCUUCUUUCCUGUGCCUAAACAUUUUUAUUCCAAGGAAUAAAUGUAUCCCCUGGAUUAGGAAAACAAAAAUAUAAGGGCAAAGCAGCUUCCUGUUCAAAGGUGGAAUUAGAAACCAGUUCCAGCAGAUCCACCUGGAUCCCUGGAAUAUUUGGAGGAGGGCCCCAGACCUUGGAGUGGGAGCUCAGCCUUUAAAUGGGAAACACUUUGUGUCCCACCAGGCGGAGAUUUAUUCCCAUGGAUUUUAAGUCCUCCCAGGGAUGGGGACUCCAUCACUGCUCUGGGCUGGGCAUUUCCAAGAG